rnacentral:rRNA from 1 species
GGCGAUCAGAUACCGCCCUAGUUCUGACCGUAAACGAUGCCAACUAGCGAUCCGCCGAUGGAAAUUAUAUUGCCUUGGUGGGGAGCUUCCCGGAAACGAAAGUCUUCCGGUUCCGGGGGAAGUAUGGUUGCAAAGCUGAAACUUAAAGGAAUUGACGGAAGGGCACCACCAGGAGUGGAGCCUGCGGCUUAAUUUGACUCAACACGGGGAAACUCACCCGGCCCGGACACUGUGAGGAUUGACAGAUUGAUAGCUUUUUCAUGAUUCAGUGGAUGGUGGUGCAUGGCCGUUCUUAGUUCGUGGAGUGAUUUGUCUGGUUUAUUCCGAUAACGAGCGAGACUCUAACCUACUAAAUAGUUGGUACAUACUCUUAGUGUAUACAGCUUCUUAGAGGGAUUUGCGGCGUUCAGCCGAAAGAAAUUGAGCAAUAACAGGUCUGUGAUGCCCUUAGAUGUCCGGGGCUGCACGCGCGCUACACUGGCAAAAUCAACGUGCUUGUCCUACCCUGAAAGGGGCGGGUAAACCAUUGAAAAUUUGCCGUGAUUGGUAUCGGAAAUUGCAAUUAUUUUCCGUGAACGAGGAAUUCCAAGUAAGUGCGAGUCAUCAGCUCGCGUUGAUUACGUCCCUGCCCUUUGUA